AAUAGAUACCCAGGUAGUCCACCCCGUAAACGUUGGGAACUAGUUGUGGGGACCAUUCCACGGUUUCCGUGACGCAGCUAACGCAUUAAGUUCCCCGCCUGGGGAGUACGGCCGCAAGGCUAAAACUCAAAGGAAUUGACGGGGACCCGCACAAGCGGCGGAGCAUGCGGAUUAAUUCGAUGCAACGCGAAGAACCUUACCAAGGCUUGACAUAUACGAGAACGGGCCAGAAAUGGUCAACUCUUUGGACACUCGUAAACAGGUGGUGCAUGGUUGUCGUCAGCUCGUGUCGUGAGAUGUUGGGUUAAGUCCCGCAACGAGCGCAACCCUCGUUCUAUGUUGCCAGCACGUAAUGGUGGGAACUCAUGGGAUACUGCCGGGGUCAACUCGGAGGAAGGUGGGGAUGACGUCAAAUCAUCAUGCCCCUUAUGUCUUGGGCUUCACGCAUGCUACAAUGGCCGGUACAAAGGGCUGCAAUACCGUAAGGUGGAGCGAAUCCCAAAAACGCGGUCCACGUUCGGAUUGAGGUCUGCAACUCGACCUCA
rnacentral:rRNA from 1 species